CAGUACAGGCUCAGAAAUCCGGAUUUUAUGGCAAGACAGAAUGCUUCAUAUUUGCUUAUCUUUCUUUACUGAAACUCCCAGCAGCAAAGAAACAGUUAACAAAGAGUGUAAAACAUUCAACCAAUCAGAAUGCAUAACAAUAAUAUAUAGUGCCAUCAGACUCCUCCCACUUCCUCUUUCUUUGCUGCUUGCCUCCCAGGUGAGUCUAUUCUAAUU